UACGUAGGGCGCAAGCGUUGUCCGGAAUUAUUGGGCGUAAAGCGCACGUAGGCGGCGAUUCAAGUCAGAGGUGAAAGCCCGGGGCUCAACCCCGGAACUGCCUUUGAAACUAGAUCGCUAGAAUCUUGGAGAGGUCAGUGGAAUUCCGAGUGUAGAGGUGAAAUUCGUAGAUAUUCGGAAGAACACCAGUGGCGAAGGCGACUGACUGGACAAGUAUUGACGCUGAGGUGCGAAAGCGUGGGGAGCAAACAGG
rnacentral:rRNA from 1 species